rnacentral:piRNA from 1 species
AUUGAUCAGAAGAGGGACACAGACAGUGU